rnacentral:lncRNA from 1 species
UCCUCCGCCACCUAUCUGUUCCAUGUGGCGUACUUCUUCCCCAAUUUCUCUGACGUCACAUCGACGCUGCGGCAGCCACCACCACCGCGACGCAGAUCGACAACGCCGCACAGUUUUGCAGGAGACAAGACGAUCUCCUCAAGUUUCAGGCAGAUCCGUCGGCCAUCCAGAUUCAGGCUGAUCUCCUCAAGUCCGGCGAAGGGAAGCCAGAUCCGCCGGCCAUCCAGAUUCAGGCAGAUCUCUCUCUCUCGACAGAUCUCUCUCUACGUUUCUUUCUAAUUUUCUAGUUUCUCUCCCCCAGAAAUUGAAGGCUUUAUUUGUAUUUAAUCAUAUGUAUAUUUGUGUUCAACCAUGUGCAUAUAUGGUUGAAUUCUUGUGCACUACUAAAAAAAACGCUCAUACAUAACGGUAAUUUUCCGUUAUCUAUGCACCAAAAAAAGCGUUGUAUAUAGUGGUGUUAUGUAUGAGGGCGCUCAUACAUAACGGUAAUAUACCGUUACCUAUACUAUGUAUACAUAACGGUAAAUGAGGUAUACAUAACACAUUGAUUACCGUUUUGUAUGAAUGUAAUAUAUAACGGUAAAUUCUGUUAUAAAAUGUAUUUUUUCCGUUAUGUAUUAUAACUAUACAUAACGGUUUUUUAUAUUUUACAUAACAAUUAAUUACCGUUUUCUUAUGUUAACAUACAUAACAGUUUUUACCGUUAUAAAUCAUAUUUUUUAUGUAAUAAAAUGUAGUUCUUAUACACUUUGUUGUUGUUAUACAUAACGUUUUUUGUUAUUUUAUAUGACAGUCAUUUCCGUUAUGUAUUCUUAAAUGCAAAAUUCAAGCUAUUUUUUUAUUUUUUAUUUUUUUGCUUGUUUUUAUAAUUUCCUAAAUACAAAUUAUACAAUAGUCUCAAACACAACAAUACUACAACCAAAAUAUAUUAUAUAAAUACUUAAUCAUCCAAACAUUGUAUCAUCAAAAUAACUAUUCAUAGCCAUUAAAGACAUCAAGACUAACUCGAAACAUAGGAUUAACUCUCAAGUGAUCGACAAGAACAGCCUCAUCAUUCACAUGUUCUCUGCUGCAGUUAAUAAGGAUGGCUUCCUUCUUCAUCUUCCCCAGGUUGAAUUCAAAGCCUGCAUCAAAUUCAGAAACAUUGUGAGGAAGACAGGUUGAAAAUGAUCUGAUAUUGAACAUUGACUGCUGAGUUUAAUCUAUGUCCAUAGGUCUUCUGCACAAGCUAGCUAGGUUAUAGCAAAGCAAAUUGCAUUUAUAAUAGAAAAGGAUCAAUUGAUCCAAUGUUAGAAUAUAAAGUUUUAGCUAUACUUUGAGUGAUGGCAUUAUCAGUUGAAAUGUAGCUCUGUACAACAAAAUUAGUAGCUCAGGAACUUAACCAACUAAAUGUAUACACCUACCUAGAUGCCGACCUAUUCAUAUUAUAAUAAUAAACAUGUUUACAUGAUAUGUUGGGCUUCAAAACAGUAAACAUAACCAUUAUAAAAACAAUAAAAUCUGACAUUUAUACCAAUCAUCAAGGAAUUUCAGGAGGGUAGCAGUCAGUUUCCUUACCUUAUCAUGCUUACUGGAUGCCAUUAGCUAAGCAAGAAAGGGGGAUCUUUGGCUGCAAUUUUCGAUAGUCUUCUUCCCAUUGCACAAAGCUCCAAAAAGUUACUGAAAUUUGAGAUGUGAUUAAAUAUUAGAACAUGGGGAAUUAUUGGAACCAUCCUGACCUUGAAACCAAAUGCAAAUUCAACCAAACUAAUUAUUCACACACUACACAUAUGACCGUACAUAUGUUCAAGAAAAACUAUAUGAAAACAUGAUAUAUAUUUAGUUAUACUGCAACAGAAAAAAUAGAAACUGCCCAUCAAGAAAAACUAAACAGGUUUAGGUGAAGAAAGUCGAGUAUAAUCGUUAUUCUGCUUCAGUGAAAACGAAGCGCAGUAAUCAGUUGCAACAGCUGAGACAAAUGCACUCAAAACAUUAAAAAGAACAGUUCCAGCUGUGAAAGUAAUAAGAACCUUUACCUUGAAUAUCUUAGCAGUAUAACAUACAAGUCGAUCAAGUUUUUCUCCUCCCGAUAGAAUUUGCCUGCAGAAACACAUUAUCUAAUAGCAAUCACAUAACAGAGACCAUUUUUUCAGAAUUGAACAGCCUUUCACAUAUUUUCAACUGAUAAUGCCAUCACUCAAAGUAUGCCAUAAUCAAGAUGGUCAGUAUCUAUAUACACUAUUUUACACAACAUUCAGAUAAACACAAGUCUUAAAACCACAUAAUAAAUAAAGCAUAUGGGAGCACCGACUGUAAAUGGAGCAGAAGAAGAAUGAGGCACAAACCUUGUUUGAGGUGAAUGAGACACAAGUCUUACCACCACUUACUCAUGAAGAUAUCUUGGAAGGUGUUGGUAAUACAGCCUCAACAUUGGAGUGAGAACUUAGUGUUCAAAUCACAUCCUCAACACGUAAAGUAAUAUAUAGAAGUUAGUUACCUUGUGCAUAUUCACUAAGUAACCUCCAAGAUUUUGCAAUUCCUUCUUGCAUACAUCCAACAACAGAUCGAUACUACUCUUUUCUAGCAAUCAUUCCAAAGAAGAAUCUAAUGCAUCUUAAAUGACUUUAUUAUUACCACAACAACUUAGCAGAUUGAAGAAACAGGUAGAAACAAAUGAUUCUUCAAUAUCACUCAAGGAAAAAGGCCACUAACAGAAAGCUUGGGAGCCAAAAUUUGAUAAUUUGAGCCCUAGUUUGAGGAUGCUAGGGAGCCAAAAUUUGAAUGCAGUACAGAUGCUAGGGAGCCAUAAUUUGAUUAUUCAAAUACUUUAGGGCAGGAAAAUGAAAAUGUAAACUCAUUUAAUUAUAGGGAAAAAUUGUGGGGAGAAAAUAGCGUGAGGGCCUCACAUGGAGGUGGCUGAGUUCAGCGGAGGACGAGGUCUGCUCCCGGCAGACCUGAUGCGUGUGCGGCGCCGACGCGUCUGCUCGCGAUUCCUGCUACUGCGGCGUCUGAUCGUUGAAUCGCCUCGCGCCGGACCGAUUGAGGCAAGGGAAGAGCAUUCGCCAGAUCGAUUGAGGUAGAGGGAAGGCUCGCAUUUCCUGCUACUGCGACCGGCGUCUGAUUGUUUGAAUCGCGGUGGCCAUCUGGACUCUAGCGAGGCAGGGCGCAACUUGGCCUUGGGGCGACUGGCGAAGCUCAAUCCGGCGUCCUUUACCCACGCCACGGCCACUGGGAAAGGGGGCCGAGGGGCACACGGCUGGGGCGAGGGCGGCGCGCGGUGGCAUGCAGAAGGGGCGGCGCGGGUGGCGGCGGACUGGUGGGAGAAGGUGAAGGGGAGGCGGAGGGAAUGGGAGGGGGAGGAUGCGAAAACCCUAGAUGGGAAUUGGGAAUUAAUUUGAUAGGCUUAAGGGGUUAAAUGCCAAUUACAAGAAUAUAUUUAUUUUUAAAAAAUGAUAAAAAAAUAAAAUAAAAUAAAUUGUUUACAUUUAUUUUAAUUUAAUUAUUAAUAUUGACGAAAAAAUAUUUGAAUAAUAAUAUUAAUCACAUUUUUAAUAAUAUUUAAAAUGAUAAUAUUCCAAACUUUUAUUUAUUUGAAUUCUUAUUUUUUACUAUAAACUGAUUUUGCCAAAAUAUAAAUGUGACUAAAAAAUAAAAAAUAAAAAAUAAAAAGAUGUUGAUAGAUAACAAUAGCGAAUAACAGUUGGAACUACCGUUAUAAAUGUACGCUCAUAUAUAACGGUUGUCUUAACGUUGAAACAACUGUCAUUAAAUAGACAAUAAUACAUAACGAUUGGGUUAACGGUUCAGUAGCACUGUUAUAUAUAUGAUAAAUAGAUAACACUAUUACGUAACGCUUAAUUUGAUACUGUUAUAAAUACAUUUAGAUAACAGUACAUACAUAACAGAGGUCCAUAAAACCGUUAUGUAUAGUCAAAAGUGCGCUCAUACAUAACGGUUUUUGACCAAAACCGUUAUGUAUGAACCGUUAUCCCUGUUUUGAUUUUUAGUAGUGGUGGUAUGUAAUUCUCAUGAAGUAUAUAAAUUCAAAUUUGGACAACUUAUUUUGUUCACGUAGCACACUAAAAACGCGGCAUGUGGCAGAGUUUUUUAGUAACAAAAUGCAGAGUGAUGAAAUGGAAUAGCAAUUUCGGAUUAAAAACACGCAGACCUAUCAUUAAAUUCAUGGAGAUCAGACUUAUGCAUAUUUGUGUUUAACUAACUAUAUGCACAAUGUGUUCAAACAAAUUUAUGUAUGACAUAUUUUGAUUUGUUUGGAUGGUUAUCGGCAGGGGCACGCGAGUCAGAUGCGCCCACCACCGACGCGGCCGCCAUCACCUACCUCUCGUCUCUAGUUUUUGCUGAACAACUCGCGUCAACAACUGACUUAGCCGUCGCCAUUUCUACCCCACCUCUGACUCACGACGAAUAAUAGGAAUUGAAUAUCUGACUUUUGAAAUUCAUUUUCUCUCUCUCUCUCUAUAUAUAUAUAUAUAUAUUUAUAUAUAUAGGGGUAUGUUCUAGUGAGAUUGCUAUUUUUCGUGAGAUGCGAGACUAAUGAAUAAGUCACUAUAUAGUGAUGAAUAAGGCGGUAUAUAAUACUCCCUCCGUCCCAAUGAAAGUGGUGCGCUUCUUUUCGGCAUGAGAUUUAAGGAGAAUAAGAUUGUAGUGUAAAAGUGUGUAAAGGUGUGCGGGGCCACAUUGUUUGUAGUAUAAAAUUAUUACCAAAAAAGGAAAUGCACCACUUUCGUUGGGACGGCUAAAAAAGGAAUACGCAUCGCUUUCGUUGGGACGGAGACGAUAUUUAAAAAAUUAGUAAAAUUUUCACUCCCUCCAAAAUUCGAAUCCUAGUAAAACUCCUAGCACAUCAAGAUAAUGUCCAUUCUCAUCAAAGAUUAUAAGCCCUUUAAAAUAAGCUUAAUCGCCAAACACCCUAUAAACCUCAUUAGAGGUCUCAAUACACAAAAACUAAUACACGCCCUUAAUUUGAUUGCUUUAAAAUCCCCAAUAAAAAAAAUAAAAAAAUAAAAUAAAAUAAUAUUGAUUGCUUUAAAUUGACAAUAACCAAAAUUUAUAAACUAUUUAGAAAAUCUAAUAAUUGGGGGUCCUUUUUGCUGUCGAUGGAUCGCUGUCAAAGAAGCAAAUUCCGCCACACAUAUGUUGAAGACUAGUCAAGAUUUUCCAAUUUCUAGAAAAUUAAAAAUCAAGCAAAUAAAGGCUGUCUCUAACAAUUAGUUAAUGGUUGGUACAUAGUAUAAUGUAGAAAAGAAUAUCGGAAUCAUGAUGGAAGGAAGAGACGUGAGAAAAUAAGAUCUAUAGCUACCGCCAUUUUUCCACAAUCAACACACACACGUUGCAAUACACUUUUUUCAAGAAACUAGUGACUCUAUAUAUUAGUAGCAUUAGCUUCAUAUAUUGAAGAAAAAUCUCAAAGGAACAAAAUCUAAGUUUCUUUGCUCAAGAAGAAGAAUAUGGGAUCCACAAAGACGACGAGAAUCUUGCAUUUUCUAGCAUUUUUUCUCUUAGCUGGAGUGAUUUCUAUCCAUGCCAAGACUCAUCAUCAAACCUUUGUAGUAAGUUAAUUAAUUCCUUACUUUAUUGAUUUCACAUACAAAUCAGAUUUAUUCAUGUAUACUAUAAUCUUUAUA